CCGGAGACUCCGUCGGAUGCCAAAUCCGGUGUUCUUGCUGAUCAGGAAUGUCUCACCGUGAGUGAUUCGGUAAAAUCUUUCACUAUUGGUGUUCUUCAACUUAAAGGUGGAUACCGUCCCAGGAGAAGAAUCGUAAAUAGGAUAUUGAUUACCAGCUGAGACGUGCUAGCCCGCAGAUGACGAUCGACAGUGACCCAAUCUAUCCCUCGAUCAAUUCGGUCAACAUGAUGGCAAGCCGAUCGAAUUAGCGUCAUAAAUCCGCAAAACCCGGAACCGAUUUUAAUUUUUGCUACAAGAACGUGUUCCCUACCAUCACUAGUCACAGUCAGAUGCUUGAUCCGACAACCCCAGCCGCAGCAGCAGCUCAAUGAGUUAUCGAUUGUCACAGUCCUGAAAUAUCAGCGAACCUGCUCCGUCAGCAGGAGUAGCAAAAAGAUCUAGCUUCGGUCGCCACCUAUCGGAGGAUCACGAUGAUUUCAACAAUAA